rnacentral:rRNA from 1 species
GACGAACGCUGGCGGCGUGCUUAACACAUGCAAGUCGAACGGAAAGGCCCUGCUUUUGUGGGGUGCUCGAGUGGCGGACGGGUGAGUAACACGUGAGUAACCUGCCCUUGACUUUGGGAUAACUUCAGGAAACUGGGGCUAAUACCGGAUAGGAGCUCCUGCUGCAUGGUGGGGGUUGGAAAGUUUCGGCGGUUGGGGAUGGACUCGCGGCUUAUCAGCUUGUUGGUGGGGUAGUGGCUUACCAAGGCUUUGACGGGUAGCCGGCCUGAGAGGGUGACCGGCCACAUUGGGACUGAGAUACGGCCCAGACUCCUACGGGAGGCAGCAGUGGGGAAUAUUGCACAAUGGGCGGAAGCCUGAUGCAGCAACGCCGCGUGCGGGAUGACGGCCUUCGGGUUGUAAACCACUUUCGCCUGUGACGAAGCGUGAGUGACGGUAAUGGGUAAAGAAGCACCGGCUAACUACGUG